CGUUGUCGGAUUAUUGGGCGUAAAGGGCUCGCAGGCGGUUUCUUAAGUCUGAUGUGAAAGCCCCCGGCUCAACCGGGGAGGGUCAUUGGAAACUGGGAAACUUGAGUGCAGAAGAGGAGAGUGGAAUUCCACGUGUAGCGGUGAAAUGCGUAGAGAUGUGGAGGAACACCAGUGGCGAAGGCGACUCUCUGGUCUGUAACUGACGCUGAGGAGCGAAAGCGUGGGGAGCGAACAGGAUUAGAUACCCUGGUAGUCCACGCCGUAAACGAUGAGUGCUAAGUGUUAGGGGGUUUCCGCCCCUUAGUGCUGCAGCUAACGCAUUAAGCACUCCGCCUGGGGAGUACGGUCGCAAGACUGAAACUCAAAGGAAUUGACGGG
rnacentral:rRNA from 1 species